UACGUAGGGUGCGAGCGUUGUCCGGAAUUAUUGGGCGUAAAGAGCUCGUAGGCGGUUUGUUGCGUCUAUCGUGAAAACCUGCGGCUUAACUGUGGGCUUGCGGUGGAUACGGGCAGACUUGAGUUCGGUAGGGGAGACUGGAAUUCCUGGUGUAGCGGUGGAAUGCGCAGAUAUCAGGAGGAACACCGGUGGCGAAGGCGGGUCUCUGGGCAGUAACUGACGCUGAGGAGCGAAAGCGUGGGGAGCGAACAGG
rnacentral:rRNA from 1 species